GGCAAAGCCGGUGGGAGUGAUACCGGUGGAAGGGACAAUACCGGAGGUGGUGACGGUGUUUGAAUGAUGGGAGAUGGUGAUGAAGGUGGUGGAGUUGGGGUGGAAGCAAGUAUUUUGGGUGGUGGUGGUGAAGAAACUGGGAGCACCGGUGCAACGGGCAGUGUCGGAGAAGCUAACGGUGAUGAAGUUGGGGUGGAGGCAAGUGUUUUGGGUGGUGGUGGUGAAGAAACUGGGAUCACUGGAGAAGCUAACGGUGAUGAAGUAGUUGGGGUGGAGGCAAGUGUUUUGGGUGGUGGUGGUGAAGAAACUGGGAUCACCGGUGCAACUGGCAGUGUCACCGGAGAAGCUGACUGCGAUUGUGCAUAGGUUGUGGUAGAGAGGGAGGAGCAAAAACAUGCGAUGAUCAGCAGCCAGAGCAAAUUAUG
rnacentral:lncRNA from 1 species